GAGGUAUGGGACUGUAGGUGGAGGUAUGGGACUGUAGGUGGAGGUAUAGAGGUAUGGGACUGUAGGUGGAGGUAUAGAGGUAUGGGACUGUAGGUGGAGGUAUAGAGAUAUGGGACUGUAGGUGGAGGUAUAGAGGUAUGGGACUGUAGGUGGAGGUAUAGAGAUAUGGGACUGUAGGUGGAGGUAUAGAGGUAUGGGACUGUAGGUGGAGGUAUAGAGAUAUGGGACUGUAGGUGGAGGUAUAGAGGUAUGGGACUGUAGGUGGAGGUAUAGAGGUAUGGGACUGUAGGUGGAGGUAUAGAGGUAUGGGACUGUAGGUGGAGGUAUAGAGGUAUGGGACUGUAGGUGGAGGUAUAGAGGUAUGGGACUGUAGGUGGAGGUAUGAGACUGUAGGUGGAGGUAAAGAGGUAUGGGACUGUAGGUGGAGGUAUGAGACUGUAGGUGGAGGUAUAGAGGUAUGGGACUGUAGACUGUACAACACAGGACAUACCAAUCAGCUCUUUCUCUGAAGCAGUCUGUAAUGGGAUACAGCAGCAGUCUGUAAUGGGAUACAGCAGAAGCAGUCUGUAAUGGGAUACAGCAGCAGUCUGUAAUGGGAUACAGCUGGAGAAGCAGUCUGUAAUGGGAUACAGCAGCAGUCUGUAAUGGGAUACAGCAGGAGAAGCAGUCUGUAAUGGGAUACAGCAGCAGUCUCAGUCUGUAAUGGGAUACAGCAGCAGUCUGUAAUGGGAUACAGCUGGAGAAGCAGUCUGUAAUGGGAUACAGCAGCAGUCUGUAAUGGAAUACAGCAGCAGUCUGUAAUGGGAUACAGCAGCAGUCUGUAAUGGAAUACAGCAGCAG
rnacentral:lncRNA from 1 species